GAAGUUUGGAGAGAAGGAUGGCGGCCAUCAAGGCUCUGCAGCAGUGGUGUAAAGUGCAAUGCGAUGGCUACAGAGAUGUGGAGAUAAUCAACAUGACCACCUCAUUCAGAGACGGACUGGCUUUCUGCGCCCUUAUUCACAAAUUCAGACCGGACCUCAUAAACUUUGAGUCCCUGAAUAAGGACAAUGUGUAUGACAACAACUGCUUGGCUUUUCGUGUGGCUGAGGAUCAUCUGGGGAUUCCAGCACUUCUGGAUGCAGAGGACAUGGUGGCUCUUCUCGUCCCGGACCGACUCAGCGUUCUCACUUAUGUCUCGCAGUACUACAACUACUUCAACGGUCGCACGCCUAUGGGAGGAGUCGGAGGUGUCAAGCGGCCGGCAGAGGACUCAAAAGAGGAGCCAUCAGAAAAGAAGAAUCUCCCUGUCACUGCCAAAACCUACAGCCCCAAACCUCAUCCAGUGUCUUCUUCUGUCACCUUUAAAGCUGCCCAAAACCGUCCACCAUCACAUAUCUUACAGAACAGCAGCUCAAACAAACAUGUCUCUACUACUCCGACAGAGGAGUACACCAUAGCAAAACACUCUAUCUCCAAAAACCUCAAAAAGACCUCUCCAACUACUGAUUCUUCAUCCAAAGACAGGAAUACUGAGAAGACUGUUUUAGACGAGAACUCCAAUAAAACUGGCACCCUGAACAGUAAGUGUGCGGUGUGCAGGAGUCACGUUCACUUGGUUCAGAGACACCUAGUGGAUGGAAAACUGUACCACAGGAGCUGCUUCAAGUGCUGUGAAUGUUCAGUUGCUUUACAGUCGGGGGCGUAUACAUCAGGCCAACAGCCUGGCACACUGCGCUGUUCUUCAUCCCGCUGCACUCAGAAUGACCUCAAGUCUUCAGCUAAGAGUAGUGGAUCGAUUGCGAUUGGACCAGAACCUGAGAGCAGAAGUGGGCCGUCACCACGGCAGCAUUCGUCAGUUCUGACCAGCCCUGUUAAACCUCUUCCUAGAUCAGUUCAGCCAACUCCAGCACCAGAACCAUGGACUGCUUCAGCUCUAAGGACUCAAGCUGCCAGGCAGAGGUUUUUCCUUUCAGCCUCGGAGGCCUCUACGACCCAGAACAUGAUUGAACCAAAGUGUAAAGAAGGAAAUGAGACAUCGAUCUCUCCAAAAUUGGCCAAAGGAAACUGCAACAAUAAUAACAAAGCUUAUAGCUGUGGACUCAGCCCAGACAAUGAAUCUGUUCAAGUCUUCAGCUCAAAGCAGGAAAGAUGUGGCUUAGGCACAGAAAUCAAAGCCGGACAUUUCUGCAUUUCUCUCACUAACACCUGCAGCAUGGAGACCUCAUGGCUGAGUGGCAUAAACAAAGAGCACACUAGACCUCCUUCUUCCCUCUUCAUUGCCAGAGAUGUAGGGUGCUGUGAAGGCCAAAAGUUGAAGACGGCUUCAAAUGAACCAGGAUUAAAAACGUUUUCUGAGGAUAAUGCUGUGACUCCUGAAGAAAACAAACUGGUCUGCCAUGAUAACCAGCUGAGUCACCAGUGCACUGCUUCAGUGCCAGGAUUCCAGACUACAAACACUGCACAUUUUGCUAAUUUCUAUACUCAUAAAUCUCCCAUCACAGACUCUGCUGUUUCAGGCUCUAAAUGUGAGCAUUCCUUAGCGAGCUCAUCACCCAGAUGCACACUGCCAUGUACAGAUCAACACCGUGGAGACCUAGCUGAAUCUAGUUGUAUAUCAGGAGGGGACAAAUUCUGUCCAUCCCUGCCACCUCUAGUGGAUGACAGAAUCUCCUUCAGACCUUUACAGCAUAGAAUUGCAUACUCUGCAGGACAAGCUGAAAAGGAAAGUGUGCCAUUUGAGAACAGUUCACAGCCCGAAACUGUGUCACUCACAAUCAAGCCUCACCACAUCCCAGUCGAGCAGAUCACUAAGGAGCUGCAGGAAAUUGAGAACAGCCUGAGUGAUUUGGAGAAAGCGGGAAUUGACCUGGAGAGACGACUCCGUAGCUGCGAGGAAGAGGGCAGCGGGGACAUUUUGGUGGAUCCGUUAAUGGUGGAAUGGUUCAACUUGAUUCGGAAGAAGCAAAGUUACAUACGGAGGGAAUCCGAGCUCAUGUACAUAGCAAAAACUCAAGUUUUAGAGGAGCAGCAGCCAGGAGUGGAAGGAGAGCUCAGGAGACUUAUUAAUAAACCAGAGCAUCUGAAAAGCCCUUCAGAAAGGAGGAGAGAGUCUGAUCUUAUGAAGAGGCUGGUGGAGAUCGUCAACGACAGGAAUGCCAUUGUGGACGGCCUGGAGGAAGACAGACGGAGAGAAGAGCAAGAAGAUCAGCAGCUGAAUGAAAUGAUGCACAGGCUUGGUCUACGGAAACUUAAAGGCAGAAGAAAAUCGUCCUUCUCGAAGUUAUUCAGGCGCAAAAGUAAAAAUGAGCGAAGGAACGAAGAAUGACCCAUGCCCAUGUCCAAGCUGGUGUUUCAGCCACACACAACCAGUGUGAUUUGUGCUGUGAGAUGAUGAGGUGCUGACGGUCCUCAAGGAGGGUCUCUGAACUAAUGUAGUAGUCUGUGGAGCUUUGGAUAUAGACAUUGUGUUCUCUGUAGAACUUUGCUGGUGGAUGUGUAUGGUGGACUGGAUUUCACACGACCUGUCUGUGGCACAUCAUGAGGUACAAAGGGCAAUGUUUUACUGCGGGAAAGCACUAGCGCACACAGAUCCACACAUAAGUGCAGUGGUUAUUGCAGGCCUCUCUGACCUCCCUGCACCCGUAUUACCAUUAAAAGACAUCCUAAAGCUCUGUAAGAAAAAAUCACUAAAUUCAUAUAACCUUUAUGUAAUUUUGAUAAAUGUUUUUUUUUUUUUGUAAACGUUCGCUGUAUAGUUUCAGGUUUUGUAUGUCAU